rnacentral:tRNA from 1 species
GGCGGGAUGCCCGAGCGGCCAAAGGGAGCGGCCUGUAAAGUCGCCGGCUUAAGCCUACGGAGGUUCGAAUCCUCCUCCCGCCA